UACGAAGGGGGCUAGCGUUGUUCGGAAUUACUGGGCGUAAAGCGCACGUAGGCGGAUCGAUCAGUCAGGGGUGAAAUCCCAGGGCUCAACCCUGGAACUGCCUUUGAUACUGUCGAUCUGGAGUAUGGAAGAGGUGAGUGGAAUUCCGAGUGUAGAGGUGAAAUUCGUAGAUAUUCGGAAGAACACCAGUGGCGAAGGCGGCUCACUGGUCCGGUACUGACGCUGAGGUGCGAAAGCGUGGGGAGCAAACAGG
rnacentral:rRNA from 1 species